GUAAUAAUGGUCCAGUUCAGUUAAUGGAUUGGUGAAGGUUCAUACUCCAAAUCAUAGAGAAGAAAAGAUGUCUGUAGAGGAGGAAUACUAUAUCAACUUGCAUGUUGGGGACUCCGAGGAACCAAUUUCUGAGGUCGACCGUGGAAAACGAAAGGUUUCAGAAUAACCGAAAUACGAAACUGAAGCAAUUACCAGAGCUCGCGGACUCGUGAAGAUUGGAAGACGAUUGGAGUAUUGUCAACACUAUCAGUUUAUCUUGCUUUGGUAUAUAAAUACUUUUACUUUGUUACAAUGGCAUGUAUAGGUUUUUGGUUAUUUUGUUAUAUGUGUCAUUGAUUAACCAUUGUAAGGGCUUGAAUGAUAUACUUAUUCAUUUUGUAUACGGCCACGAGACAUGGCUCAUUUUGAUAUAGGUUGUAACCUCCUAAUUGUGCAUGUUGGUGUUUAAAUGUUCAUGAGAUGGUUAAACGUGGUA